GCAGUAGAGGCCGAGUGGUUAAGGCGAUGGACUAGAAAUUCAUUGGGGUCUCCCCGUACAGGUUCGAAUCCUGUCGACUGCG
rnacentral:tRNA from 1 species